AUCCCACGAUCUGCAUCUUGAACGAGGCUCAUCUGGAAAACAAGAACAAGAAACUCACGAUAUAUAAUAUACGACCGAUUGGGAAAGGACAACUUCGCGCGCGUCUACCUCCCCGAUUCCGAUACAAACAAAAAACAAAAAGGGUGGGGGAGAAGAGGGUUCCACGACCUCGGAGGAUUCAAUGGAUCGGCUUCGCAAUGCCUUGUGAUUUACUGUGUAACUAAAAAUCAGCGUUUCAGAAAUAUCGAUUCGCAGCUGUUAAUUUUCAAGACGCUCUUAAAUUAGAUGAAGCUACGCAGGCUGCGGCUGGUAUUUAUUUCUUCUCUUUUGUACUCUACAUCUCUACAGUGCUUUUCAUGUAAUGCUAAUAAAUAGAAUUCCAUCUGCAUAAUAUGUAAAGUGAUUGAGACGAAUGUAAAAGACGAGCAAAAGCUUUUUAAGAAGAUGAAUAAAGUAAUUUGUUCCGCGCGGAUUACUGCAAAUACGAAAAA